AUUGGACGCUGGCGGCAGGCUUAACACAUGCAAGUCGAGCGGGGGAAGGUAGCUUGCUACCGGACCUAGCGGCGGACGGGUGAGUAAUGCUUAGGAAUCUGCCUAUUAGUGGGGGACAACAUCUCGAAAGGGAUGCUAAUACCGCAUACGUCCUACGGGAGAAAGCAGGGGAUCUUCGGACCUUGCGCUAAUAGAUGAGCCUAAGUCGGAUUAGCUAGUUGGUGGGGUAAAGGCCUACCAAGGCGACGAUCUGUAGCGGGUCUGAGAGGAUGAUCCGCCACACUGGGACUGGAACACGGCCCAGACUCCUACGGGAGGCAGCAGUGGGGAAUAUUGGACAAUGGGGGGAACCCUGAUCCAGCCAUGCCGCGUGUGUGAAGAAGGCCUUAUGGUUGUAAAGCACUUUAAGCGAGGAGGAGGCUACUCUAGUUAAUACCUAGGGAUAGUGGACGUUACUCGCAGAAUAAGCACCGGCUAACUCUGUGCCAGCCGCCGCCGUAAUAC
rnacentral:rRNA from 1 species